AGAGUCAAAUGCUUUUCACUUUAAGGACAAGCUGUGAUGGGGAGCGAAAUUUAGUAGCGAAGCGUCUGAUGUCACACUGCCGAGAAAAGCUUCUAGUGAGUACUUAACUACCCGUACCGCAAACCGACACAGGUAGUCGAGGAGAGAAUCCUAAGGUGAGCGAGUGAACUCUCGUUAAGGAACUCGGCAAAAUGACCCCGUAACUUCGGGAGAAGGGGUGCUGAUCGCAAGAUCAGCCGCAGUGAAUAGGCCCAGGCGACUGUUUAUCAAAAACACAGGUCUCUGCAAAAUCGUAAGAUGACGUAUAGGGGCUGACGCCUGCCCGGUGCUGGAAGGUUAAAAGGAUGGGUUAGCUUCGGCGAAGCUCAGAAUUGAAGCCCCAGUAAACGGCGGCCGUAACUAUAACGGUCCUAAGGUAGCGAAAUUCCUUGUCGGGUAAGUUCCGACCCGCACGAAAGGCGUAACGAUCUGGGCACUGUCUCAACGAGAGACUCGGUGAAAUUAUAUUGUCCGUGAAGAUGCGGACUACCCGCGACAGGACGGAAAGACCCCAUGGAGCUUUACUGUAGCUUGAUAUUGAGUGUUUGUACAGCUUGUACAGGAUAGGUAGGAGCCAUAGAAACCGGAACGCUAGUUUCGGUGGAGGCGUUGGUGGGAUACUACCCUCGCUGUAUGACCACUCUAACCCGCACCACUAAUCGUGGUGGGAGACAGUGUCAGGUGGGCAGUUUGACUGGGGCGGUCGCCUCCUAAAAAGUAACGGAGGCGCCCAAAGGUUCCCUCAGAAUGGUUGGAAAUCAUUCGCAGAGUGUAAAGGCACAAGGGAGCUUGACUGCGAGACAGACAGGUCGAGCAGGGACGAAAGUCGGGCUUAGUGAUCCGGUGGUACCGUAUGGAAGGGCCAUCGCUCAACGGAUAAAAGCUACCCUGGGGAUAACAGGCUUAUCUCCCCCAAGAGUCCACAUCGACGGGGAGGUUUGGCACCUCGAUGUCGGCUCAUCGCAUCCUGGGGCUGUAGUCGGUCCCAAGGGUUGGGCUGUUCGCCCAUUAAAGCGGUACGCGAGCUGGGUUCAGAACGUCGUGAGACAGUUCGGUCCCUAUCCGUCGCGGGCGUAGGAAAUUUGAGAGGACCUGUCCUUAGUACGAGAGGACCGGGAUGGACAUACCUCUGGUGUACCAGUUGUGCCGCCAGGCGCAUCGCUGGGUAGCUACGUAUGGAUGUGAUAAACGCUGAAAGCAUCUAAGUGUGAAACACACCUCGAGAUGAGAUUUCCCAUUCCUUUAUGGAAGUAAGACCCCUGAAAGAUGAUCAGGUAGAUAGGUUAGAAGUGGCAGUGCGGUGACGCAUGAAGCGGACUAAUACUAAUCGGUCGAGGACUUAACCAAG
rnacentral:rRNA from 2 species